rnacentral:rRNA from 1 species
UCCUGGCUCAGGAUGAACGCUAGCGGCAGGCUUAACACAUGCAAGUCGAGGGGUAUAGUUCUUCGGAAUUAGAGACCGGCGCACGGGUGCGUAACGCGUAUGCAAUCUACCUUUCACAGAGGGAUAGCCCAGAGAAAUUUGGAUUAAUACCUCAUAGUAUAGCAGUUUCGCAUGAAACCACUAUUAAAGUCACAACGGUGAAAGAUGAGCAUGCGUCCCAUUAGCUAGUUGGUAAGGUAACGGCUUACCAAGGCAACGAUGGGUAGGGGUCCUGAGAGGGAGAUCCCCCACACUGGUACUGAGACACGGACCAGACUCCUACGGGAGGCAGCAGUGAGGAAUAUUGGACAAUGGGCGCAAGCCUGAUCCAGCCAUGCCGCGUGCAGGAUGACGGUCCUAUGGAUUGUAAACUGCUUUUAUACAGGAAGAAACACUACUUCGUGAAGUAGCUUGACGGUACUGUAAGAAUAAGGAUCGGCUAACUCCGUG